rnacentral:lncRNA from 1 species
AGGACUUUGGGGAACUGGAACCGAUGAACUCCUAGAACUACUAGAAGAGGAGAUAUCGGAAGAUAUUUUCGAUCGAACGAAAGCUACAAAAUCCCAGAAAAAUUAGAAAAAUAGCGAGCAGGCCCUUAAGGAAGCUAAACGAACAGGGCACAAAAAAAAAUAGAAAAAUAGUGAGAAGUUCCAAGACUAACCUAGGUUGGCCUGGGGAGUGCGGGAAGGCGGCAAGGAUGAUGGGAGACCCGGAGGACGCCUA